GCACAAGCAGUGGAGCAUCUGCUUUAAGUCCAUGCAAUGCGAAGAACAUUACUUGGGCCUGUCACGCAGUGGACUGAAUGCGAAAGCAUUCUUCUCUUAGGAGUCGCUGUACAGGUGCUGCAUGGCUGUCGUCAACUCGUUCCGUGAGGUGCUGGGUUAAGUCCCGCAACGAGCGCAACCCUUACCAUUAGUUGCCAUCAGGUUAAGCUGAGCACUUUAAUGUGACUGCCUACGCAAGUAGUGAGGAAGGUGGGGAUGACGUCAAGUCAGCAUGGCCCUUACGCCCAGGGCUACACACGUGAUACAAUGGGUGCAACAACGGGUUGCUAAGCCGCAAGGUGGAGCCAAUCCCUUAAAUGCAUCCUCAGUUCGGAUUGGAGUCUGCAACUCGACUCCAUGAAGUCGGAAUUGCUAGUAAUCGCGCAUCAGCACGGCGCGGUGAAUACGUUCCCGGGCCUUGUACACACCGCCCGUCAAGCCAUGGAAGCCGGGGGUACCCAAAGUCGGUGACCCAACCCUUC
rnacentral:rRNA from 2 species